AUUCAAAUAGUUUAAUUAAAAUAUUGAUUUGUGGGAUCAAGGCUGUACAAUUGUACUUUGAGUA
rnacentral:tRNA from 1 species